UACGGGGGGGGCAAGCGUUGUUCGGAAUUACUGGGCGUAAAGGGCUUGUAGGUGGCCAACUAAGUCAGACGUGAAAUCCCUCGGCUUAACCGGGGAACUGCGUCUGAUACUGGAUGGCUGGAGUGUGGGAGAGGGAUGCGGAAUUCCAGGUGUAGCGGUGAAAUGCGCAGAUAUCAGGAGGAACACCGGUGGCGAAGGCGGGUCUCUGGGCCGUAACUGACGCUGAGGAGCGAAAGCAUGGGGAGCGAACAGG
rnacentral:rRNA from 1 species